UUCUAAAACAAAGCUCAGCCACAGUCGGCACUGGCCCUGUGGUUGGGUGUCACCACUGGCUGUCAGUUGAAGGCCAGGGAUUUAGUGGCAGCUCGAAGAGCCUCCCUGUUCCUCUCCCUGCCGCAGCCCCUGUAAAAUCCCUAGCGCUAGUCACGGUAGCUAAGGCAGGUUCAACGUGGAGGACGCCGCACUUUAAGUCCAUAUUACUUGAGAGAAGACUUAUAGCAGCAACUUAUGAGUAAAAAAAAAAUGAAUCUACUGUAUUCCCAGCUGAAAUGAGCUAGACAAAACUCCCAGGGAUACGAUUUAGAGGAAAGAGUUGGAGGGAUGCCUGGAAGACUCAGGGAGAACCCUGUUAAGGAGGUUAUUUCAUUGCUGAGAAAGCCAAGACGCAGGGACACUAGGGGAAAGGGAAGUCCUGGUAAGAACUUGAGUGCCACGCUGCAAAGCUUCGCUUCACGGUGCAACAACUAGUCAAGAGUCCUGCAUCAAGGCUCAGAUUUUUCACAUAUCGCAAGGACUCCUGAGGCAUGUCAGACCCAGCCUAAGACCGUUCCCCUCAAGACCCAGCUUUCCCAUAUUGUGUCGUCUGAGGAGCUGAGCUGGAGAGGCCCAGCGCUGGCUGUCAGGCACUCCAGAUGCCCGGGUACCUCUGCCUUCUGAGACCCAUGCUUCCCACCCAAAGCCGAAUAAAU